UACGAAGGGGGCUAGCGUUGCUCGGAAUUACUGGGCGUAAAGCGCACGUAGGCGGGUCGAUAAGUCGGGGGUGAAAUCCUGGAGCUCAACUCCAGAACUGCCUUCGAAACUGUCGGUCUUGAGUUCGGGAGAGGUGAGUGGAACUGCGAGUGUAGAGGUGAAAUUCGUAGAUAUUCGCAAGAACACCAGUGGCGAAGGCGGCUCACUGGCCCGAUACUGACGCUGAGGUGCGAAAGCGUGGGGAGCAAACAGG
rnacentral:rRNA from 1 species